ACCCUGCGGCCCCACCUUCCUCUUGCUCGUCUCUUCUCCCACCACCCACCACCGCUCCCUGAUCUGCCACCCACGGCCACUACCCGAUCCGCCUCCUACCAGCGCCCCCUCGCCAUUGUCCAGCUGUGACACAACUACUCCUUUCCUCUCCUCCACUCCACCUCUCCUCGCCUCGCUGUGAGAGAGAGGACCCGCCUCACUUUUCCAAUCUCAACCCACUGACCUAGACCCGCGUGGCAUCUCACCUCGCCAGCGGCCGCGUCUGAUGCUCUCGAUCUAACGACAGCCCACGUCCCACCCACACACGCACCCACGCACCCACAUCCCUCUCCAUCUUACCACUCGCCGAUACCUCCACGCGAAAAAACAUAUCACUACCCUCCCCAUCCCCUCGAGCUCCAGACCUCGACGCCAUGGUGACUGCCUUUGACACACGCGCCCCUUCGUCACCAUCUCUGAUGGAUCCUCCUCCGGUGCGGACAACGUCCAUGUCUUCAGGGGCGGUGGCAACGACUUCCUGGCCUCCCCCGACCCCUACGCCUUUCGCCACGACCCCACCGCCGCGCACCCCUUCGGCAUGCCCGACUCCAACGGUGACAACGCCAUGAUGAGGGCCUCUUCACCGACUCCGGUCACGUCCUCCUCGACACCGUCCAUAUGGGGUCUUGCGAGGGCUUCCUCCACCUCGAGUGGCGUCGAUGACUACAGAAAGUACGAGGAUAUUUUGCCUAACUUCAAGACGAGUGUUCUCCCUCUUAUAGAAGUGAAGCGAGGCUGAAGAUAUUCAAAGAAGGGAUAACAUAUUUUUGUAUAAAAAGUUACGUAUUGAUAGCUGGGUUAUCUGCAUGAUGUAAACUCUGGAAUUUCAUGUAUCUUCUCUCUGUUUCUGAAUGAAAUAUUGUCUAUUUUUGAA